CUUUUUUAGUUACUUAUCUGGCCCUCAUCAUCAUCAGUAUCUGAGCACAUCACAAUCUUUAAUGUAUGUAUACCUCACAGUACCUGAUUAGGUAGGAAAGUACUAUUGUCCUCAUUUAACAGCUGGGGAAGUGAGGCACAGAGAGGUUAAGGCCCAGACCCAGAAAGUGACAGAUUCUGGAGGCAGCUGGAAGGAAAAUUAUGAAAUGAUCCAAUCUCCAGUGCUACAAACACACUCAUCUAGAAGCAGCUAAACGGCUGAAGAAAAUCUUUGGACUCAAACACCCUUGAAUUUUGGAGAAGAUCCAAACAAGAGCCAACCUCGACCCCAAGGGAAGAAAAUUUUGGCCAAGAAAUGGCUCCCAGCUCUAUUUGGGAUAAGAAGAGCGGUGUAGCCUUGAAGCUUGGUGUCUGCAUCUGUUUCUAUUGAGGAAUCCUAGUCUGAUGCUCACAUAGAAGGAAGGAGGAAAUCUCUUCUUUUUCCCUGCAUUAAGUAGGGAAGACAAGGCUGGAGGACCCUGGGCAAGAGAUUAUUCAGCUUGGGAGGAUGAAGGACAACCGAGACACGAAACCCUGCAGGUGAAGAAUGGUGAACAAAUGAAGAUCCUAAAUGCCUGCUGAUCAUGUACCAUAGUGCCAGGCAUGUACAAGAACUGCAAGAGAUACAUAAAUGCUGUAGUGACAGACAAACAGCACAAAUACCUUUACCUGGCAUCUGCAAGGGCAUAAUUGACCACCACACCUCUACUGCAACAGAUGUAAAUGGGUUUCUUCUGGUUUCCAUGAAGCAGCAUAAUGAACAUAACUGCUUGUAACUGCUAGGACAGGUACACACCCAUUUUGCGUGCUCAGACAACCAUUUGUGCACACGUAUGAGGUGGUUAGGUGACUGCCUGUGCAAAUGCAGGUAUUGCAUGUGCAGCUGGCUCCGUGGGCACAAUCAGCUGCAUGUGCAAAAGUGAGUAAGCAAAACCAGAGGGCAAGGCAGUGCUGAAAAUGUGAACCUCAUUAUCACCAAGAUGCUAUAAGGCUGGCCAGACAACUGUGUCCAGACCUUUGGAGAUGCAGAGUUUAUUGACCUCUUAUAACAUAGUUUACAGGCUCACACUAAUUAUACAACUCAUCUCCCCUUGGGGUAAGAGGUUUGAUCCUGUCAGUGGCUGAGAGGCUCAUGGCAGGUGCUUGUAGGAGAUCCACUUUUCAGGAUUGAGCCUUAGGAUUUUAUAGCAUAUAUAUUACAAAUGCAUACAUGACAGAGAACCCACAGUUAUAACACCUGUUUCUGCUGCAAGCCUGUUGAUCUUAUCUAUACUACCUUGUGUGAAACAGAAAACGGUCUCAUUUUACUGGGAGGAACUUGCAGGGUGAACUAUUGCCUUAGUCUGGAAAUGCUAUCACCACACAAUUCAUAGGGAACCCCUGCCAGACAGGAUUAAUGCUCUGAUUAACUGGGACAAAGGCCCAGAUACCAGCCAGACUUAAAUCCUUGAUCUCAGUAACGACAUCAGAGUCUGUAAUGAAACUCAUCUGUCGGUCACCAGAAGGGAAAUGUUAGCAACAGAAUUAAAAUUACAUGAAUGCAUUUAAGUGCUCAGGGCCUGAUCUGUGAGUAUCCAUUACGUGAUCCAGCCCUGCUCAAGGAUGCCGCCUUCUGCUGCAUCCACGUAACUCCCAUUAAUAUUACAGAAUAAGGAAACAAUCCUAUUUUAAGGCCUGGAGGACAUGCUUAGUAUUAUUUCUAUUAUAGUAAUGUCCAGAGAGCCCAAGUAGAUCAGGGAUUCCCUGUGCUAGUUGUUGUACAAACAUAGUGAGAGUCAGUCCCUGCCCCAAAGAAUUUACAAUCUGUUUAAAACCAGAUGCAACAAGUGGGAAGAAUAAGUCUACAGGGAGGAUGGGGGUGGGGGUGAGGUUAACAUUUUUUGCAUAGACUAGUUAUAUACUACUGGAGAGAGUUGGUUUAACUGAUAAGCAAAAAUAGUCUUAAUCACUCUUGUUUUAUAAAGGGACUUGAAUCAGAAGCAGAAUGUAUAAUAGGUAAGGCCUGAUUCCUUGCUGCCUUGAACCUUGUGUCAUUACUGACUCCUGUGCAUAAGUGUAAAAUGCUGCUAAAUCUGCAUGAGAAUUCAAAAUGUAAUGCAGAGGAGACUCAGACCCAUAGGGCCGGAAUCUGAUUUUACUUAUGCCACAGAUGUAUCUCCGUUGACUUCAGUUGAGUUACUUCUGAUUUAUACUGGUGUAAAUAGGUCCAUAAUCAGGCUCAUAACUGAAAAGGUGCAUCUCUCAGAAAUACAAUAGAGAGUUUAAAAAUAAAUCCUCAGCUGCCAUACUAACUUACAUAACAAAUGGUAAAUCAGUUCCAGAUUUACCACUAAGGUAAACAUCCAGUAAAAGCUGUAAUACUAAGCAAGCCUGUCAGAGGACAAGAUCUGAAGUAUCUGACAGCAAUGACGAGGCAGACGGACCUUGUAUCUGGACUAUUUGUGACAAUCAGUGAUUCCUUGCUAC